GGAAACAAAACACAACCAUGCACAAAACCUGUAAUCCCAGAAGAAUAUAAAGCUAAUUUGGGAUUAUCGUAUAAAAUACCUGACUGUGAUUCCCAGGAUGACGUACAGAACCAAAUUGUCCAGAUAACAGAUCAGUUACCAUGUUCUACUAACCCGGAUUGUACGUUAAAUGUUACAAUAAACAGCUGUGUUUUAGAUCCUGCUCCUACCUUAUCUCUGGGCGUGUCCAUUAAUAUACCAAUUAACCAAUCAACAAUUGAUUUUAAACCAGGAAAUGGUACAGAUGAUAUAACUCGUGCAUUAGAUACUUUGGAUAGAACAUCCCAAAUGAUACAAGAUGAUGACGCCAUCUUUAAUG